rnacentral:rRNA from 1 species
CCUGAGAAACCCAAAAGAUCGAAUGGGGAGAUUCAUCGUCAGCUCAUUUUGUAUAUAUGCGAGUUGUGAUAUGGGUUACUACUUGUAGUAUUGCCUGUACAUUCUUGUAUAUUUAUUUGCAGGAUGUUGUCGGCGUGCACUUCUCCCCUAGUAGGACGUCGCGACCCGUUGAGUGUCGGUCUACGGCCCAGGUGGGAGCUUUUGAUAAAUUUUAUUUAUUAGAAACCCYUGGUGUUUUCUGACUGGCAUUCGGCGGUACUCGUAUGGUAUUGAGCCGCUAUUAUAUGCGUCCUAUCCGUCGCAAGCGAGGUUAGUUACUGAUAGUGCGGACCUAGUGCCGUCGUUGGUGCUAAUCAGCUGUUGGUUGUAUGGAAUUCUAGGACUGGCUCGUUGAAAUACCGGUCAGCGAUGCUACUGCUUUGGGUACUUUCAGGACCCGUCUUGAAACACGGACCAAGGAGUCUAACAUGUACGCGAGUCAUUGGGAUUUUUAUAAAUUAAACCUAAAGGCGUAAUGAAAGUGAAGGUCGGCCUUGUGUCGAUUGAGGGAGGAUGAGCUAUGUUACGAUAUAGCUUCGCACUCCCGGGGCGUCUCAUUCUCAUUGCGAGAAGAGGCGCACCUAG